rnacentral:rRNA from 1 species
GGGACAACAGACGGAAACGACUGCUAAUACCGAAUAAGUUCCAAGAGCCGCAUGGCCCAUGGAAGAAAAGGUGGCCUCUACCUGUAAGCUAUCGCCUGAAGAGGGGUUUGCGUCUGAUUAGCUGGUUGGAGGGGUAACGGCCCACCAAGGCGACGAUCAGUAGCCGGUCUGAGAGGAUGAACGGCCACACUGGAACUGAGACACGGUCCAGACUCCUACGGGAGGCAGCAGUGGGGAAUCUUCCGCAAUGGGCGAAAGCCUGACGGAGCAACGCCGCGUGAGUGAUGACGGCCUUCGGGUUGUAAAACUCUGUGAUCCGGGACGAAAAGGCAGAGUGCGAAGAACAAACUGCAUUGACGGUACCGGAAAAGCAAGCCACGGCUAACUACGUGCCAGCAGCCGCGGUAAUACGUAGGUGGCAAGCGUUGUCCGGAAUUAUUGGGCGUAAAGCGCGCGCAGGCGGCUUCCCAAGUCCCUCUUAAAAGUGCGGGGCUUAACCCCGUGAUGGGAAGGAAACUGGGAAGCUGGAGUAUCGGAGAGGAAAGUGGAAUUCCUAGUGUAGCGGUGAAAUGCGUAGAGAUUAGGAAGAACACCGGUGGCGAAGGCGACUUUCUGGACGAAAACUGACGCUGAGGCGCGAAAGCGUGGGGAGCAAACAGGAUUAGAUACCCUGGUAGUCCACGCCGUAAACGAUGGAUACUAGGUGUAGGAGGUAUCGACCCCUCCUGUG